rnacentral:rRNA from 1 species
AGCGAACGCUGGCGGCAGGCCUAACACAUGCAAGUCGAACGAACUCUUCGGAGUUAGUGGCGGACGGGUGAUUAACACGUGGGAACGUGCCUUUAGGUUCGGAAUAACUCAGGGAAACUUGUGCUAAUACCGAAUGUGCCCUUCGGGGGAAAGAUUUAUCGCCUUUAGAGCGGCCCGCGUCUGAUUAGCUAGUUGGUGAGGUAACGGCUCACCAAGGCGACGAUCAGUAGCUGGUCUGAGAGGAUGGCCAGCCACACUGGGACUGAGACACGGCCCAGACUCCUACGGGAGGCAGCGGUGGGGAUUCUUGCGCAAUGGGCGAAAGCCUGACGCAGCCAUGCCGCGUGAAUGAUGAAGGUCUUAUGAUUGUAAAAUUCUUUCACCGGGGACGAUAAUGACGGUACCCGGAGAAGAAGCCCCGGCUAACUUCGUGCCAGCCGCCGCAGUAAUAC